CAUGGCUGCUGGGCAGCCAGGUCAACCGGACGGCAAGGCAGGGGUUGGCCGGGGAAGCACUGCGCCGCCCCUGCAUGCCCUGCAUCCUCGGGUCCUGGGAGGGCUGCUCAGUAACUGGAAGGAAAAUGAAACUGAAAAAGAGCAAGGGUCCCGUAGGAUUGAACACAGUUGGUGAAACUUGGGCCGUCUGCCUCAAGUCCCCGCUUGGCAAAACCACUCCCUCCUGGUGGACGCCCUCACCAUGAAGAGUUAUAGUAAGGUGUUGGUGAGGCUGGCUGCUCUGGUUGCUAAGAGAGACCCGGCCUGCCACACUCCUAAGAGACACAGAAGACCAGCCUACCCUUCCCUUGCCUCCCGUGACACUGCCCUGCAGGUGGCUGGCCAAGAGAAGCCUGCCCGGCGACGCUGAGGCACCGAACAUGAGCAGGGGAGGAAGGAAUGCCUGGGAGCAGCUGAGCCGAGCCCCUGCCACCAGCCUCCUCCGCACGCCCGUGGAAUCAGCACUUUCUGCUUCCCGCCCCUGAGAGCCUUGCUCUGGGGCCACUCACAGCCAAUUAAGUGGGGAUGUUGUAAGAGACUCUAAAAUACGUGGAGCUGGCUGAGGACGCGGGACCGACCCCAUUAUGUGUGUGUGAGGCUGAUUAAAGUGUUACCUGUCACCAGGUGUCGCCAGUGACAGUGCUGUAGGAAAGAGUAAGCUGGAAAGAACAUCCCCCACUUCCCUGACCAGAUACAUCCAGAGGGGAGGCAAGUGGAGACUGGCUGUCUGUAGGGAGUGGAGAAAUGGCAGGUCCAGCUUGGGCUGGUGUCCUCUUCCUCAGAAAGUGCUGUGGGUGAACCCAGAGUCUCAGGGAGCAGAAGCCCCCCUCGCUGGCUUUCUUCACGCGGGGUCCUCGGCAAGCUGCUCUGCACUGCGGAGAACGUGCGCCUUGUCCUCAGAAGACGAGGAAGAGCAGGGCCUCAUGCCGGGGCAGUACGAUGUUCUCCACAGUGCGCUCCAUGGCGCGCACCUGCUCCGGGGAGGCUGUCAGGAACGCCAGGGGCCCGAUGCGCUGCUCCGCACAGGAGUGGCAGAGGUAGCCCCCCUUGUUUUCCUUCC
rnacentral:lncRNA from 1 species